GAUGAACGCUAGCUACAGGCUUAACACAUGCAAGUCGAGGGGUAGCAUGUUGGUUGCUUGCAACCGAUGAUGACGACCGGCGCACGGGUGAGUAACGCGUAUCCAACUUGGCUUAUACUUAGGGAUAACCCGUUGAAAGACGGCCUAAUACCUAAUGGUUUAUAAUAGUUGCAUGACUGUUAUAAUAAAGAUUUAUCGGUAUAAGAUAGGGAUGCGUCUGAUUAGUUAGUUGGUGAGGUAACGGCUCACCAAGGCAUCGAUCAGUAGGGGUUCUGAGAGGAAGGUCCCCCACAUUGGAACUGAGACACGGUCCAAACUCCUACGGGAGGCAGCAGUGAGGAAUAUUGGUCAAUGGACGCAAGUCUGAACCAGCCAAGUAGCGUGCAGGAUGACGGCCCUAUGGGUUGUAAACUGCUUUUAUGUGAGAAUAAAGUUAACUACGUGUAGUUAUUUGCAUGUAUCACAUGAAUAAGGACCGGCUAAUUCCGUGCCAGCAGCCGCGGUAAUACGGAAGGUCCAGGCGUUAUCCGGAUUUAUUGGGUUUAAAGGGAGCGUAGGCCGUUUGGUAAGCGUGCUGUGAAAUUUAGAGGCUCAACCUCUACCGUGCAGCGCGAACUGUCAGACUUGAGUGCGUAGUAGGUAGGCGGAAUUCGUGGUGUAGCGGUGAAAUGCUUAGAUAUCACGAAGAACUCCGAUUGCGAAGGCAGCUUACCGUAUCGCAACUGACGCUGAUGCUCGAAGGUGUGGGUAUCGAACAGGAUUAGAUACCCUGGUAGUCCGCACAGUAAACGAUGGAUGCUCGCUGUUGGCUAUUAUAGUCAGUGGCUUAGCGAAAGCGUUAAGCAUCCCACCUGGGGAGUACGCCGGCAACGGUGAAACUCAAAGGAAUUGACGGGGGCCCGCACAAGCGGAGGAACAUGUGGUUUAAUUCGAUGAUACGCGAGGAACCUUACCCGGGCUUGAACUGCAGGAGAACGAUUCAGAGAUGAUGAGGUCCUUCGGGACUCCUGUGGAGGUGCUGCAUGGUUGUCGUCAGCUCGUGCCGUGAGGUGUCGGCUUAAGUGCCAUAACGAGCGCAACCCCUUUUCUUAGUUGCCAUCGGGUAAUGCCGGGCACUCUGAGGAUACUGCCACCGUAAGGUGUGAGGAAGGUGGGGAUGACGUCAAAUCAGCACGGCCCUUACGUCCGGGGCUACACACGUGUUACAAUGGGGCAUACAGAGUGUUGGUUGCAUGUAAAUGUAAUCUAAUCUUGAAAGUGCUUCUCAGUUCGGACUGGGGUCUGCAACCCGACCCCACGAAGCUGGAUUCGCUAGUAAUCGCGCAUCAGCCAUGGCGCGGUGAAUACGUUCCCGGGCCU
rnacentral:rRNA from 1 species